rnacentral:rRNA from 1 species
GGGUUGUGAGGUUAAGCGACUAAGCGUACACGGUGGAUGCCCUGGCAGUCAGAGGCGAUGAAGGACGUGCUAAUCUGCGAUAAGCGUCGGUAAGGUGAUAUGAACCGUUAUAACCGGCGAUUUCCGAAUGGGGAAACCCAGUGUGUUUCGACACACUAUCAUUAACUGAAUCCAUAGGUUAAUGAGGCGAACCGGGGGAACUGAAACAUCUAAGUACCCCGAGGAAAAGAAAUCAACCGAGAUUCCCCCAGUAGCGGCGAGCGAACGGGGAGGAGCCCAGAGCCUGAAUCAGUGUGUGUGUUAGUGGAAGCGUCUGGAAAGGCGCGCGAUACAGGGUGACAGCCCCGUACACAAAAAUGCACAUGCUGUGAGCUCGAUGAGUAGGGCGGGACACGUGGUAUCCUGUCUGAAUAUGGGGGGACCAUCCUCCAAGGCUAAAUACUCCUGACUGACCGAUAGUGAACCAGUACCGUGAGGGAAAGGCGAAAAGAACCCCGGCGAGGGGAGUGAAAAAGAACCUGAAACCGUGUACGUACAAGCAGUGGGAGCACGCUUCGGCGUGUGACUGCGUACCUUUUGUAUAAUGGGUCAGCGACUUAUAUUCUGUAGCAAGGUUAACCGAAUAGGGGAGCCGAAGGGAAACCGAGUCUUAACUGGGCGUUAAGUUGCAGGGUAUAGACCCGAAACCCGGUGAUCUAGCCAUGGGCAGGUUGAAGGUUGGGUAACACUAACUGGAGGACCGAACCGACUAAUGUUGAAAAAUUAGCGGAUGACUUGUGGCUGGGGGUGAAAGGCCAAUCAAACCGGGAGAUAGCUGGUUCUCCCCGAAAGCUAUUUAGGUAGCGCCUCGUGAAUUCAUCUCCGGGGGUAGAGCACUGUUUCGGCAAGGGGGUCAUCCCGACUUACCAACCCGAUGCAAACUGCGAAUACCGGAGAAUGUUAUCACGGGAGACACACGGCGGGUGCUAACGUCCGUCGUGAAGAGGGAAACAACCCAGACCGCCAGCUAAGGUCCCAAAGUCAUGGUUAAGUGGGAAACGAUGUGGGAAGGCCCAGACAGCCAGGAUGUUGGCUUAGAAGCAGCCAUCAUUUAAAGAAAGCGUAAUAGCUCACUGGUCGAGUCGGCCUGCGCGGAAGAUGUAACGGGGCUAAACCAUGCACCGAAGCUGCGGCAGCGACACUGUGUGUUGUUGGGUAGGGGAGCGUUCUGUAAGCCUGUGAAGGUGUACUGUGAGGUAUGCUGGAGGUAUCAGAAGUGCGAAUGCUGACAUAAGUAACGAUAAAGCGGGUGAAAAGCCCGCUCGCCGGAAGACCAAGGGUUCCUGUCCAACGUUAAUCGGGGCAGGGUGAGUCGACCCCUAAGGCGAGGCCGAAAGGCGUAGUCGAUGGGAAACAGGUUAAUAUUCCUGUACUUGGUGUUACUGCGAAGGGGGGACGGAGAAGGCUAUGUUGGCCGGGCGACGGUUGUCCCGGUUUAAGCGUGUAGGCUGGUUUUCCAGGCAAAUCCGGAAAAUCAAGGCUGAGGCGUGAUGACGAGGCACUACGGUGCUGAAGCAACAAAUGCCCUGCUUCCAGGAAAAGCCUCUAAGCAUCAGGUAACAUCAAAUCGUACCCCAAACCGACACAGGUGGUCAGGUAGAGAAUACCAAGGCGCUUGAGAGAACUCGGGUGAAGGAACUAGGCAAAAUGGUGCCGUAACUUCGGGAGAAGGCACGCUGAUAUGUAGGUGAAGCGACUUGCUCGUGGAGCUGAAAUCAGUCGAAGAUACCAGCUGGCUGCAACUGUUUAUUAAAAACACAGCACUGUGCAAACACGAAAGUGGACGUAUACGGUGUGACGCCUGCCCGGUGCCGGAAGGUUAAUUGAUGGGGUUAGCCGCAAGGCGAAGCUCUUGAUCGAAGCCCCGGUAAACGGCGGCCGUAACUAUAACGGUCCUAAGGUAGCGAAAUUCCUUGUCGGGUAAGUUCCGACCUGCACGAAUGGCGUAAUGAUGGCCAGGCUGUCUCCACCCGAGACUCAGUGAAAUUGAACUCGCUGUGAAGAUGCAGUGUACCCGCGGCAAGACGGAAAGACCCCGUGAACCUUUACUAUAGCUUGACACUGAACAUUGAGCCUUGAUGUGUAGGAUAGGUGGGAGGCUUUGAAGUGUGGACGCCAGUCUGCAUGGAGCCGACCUUGAAAUACCACCCUUUAAUGUUUGAUGUUCUAACGUUGACCCGUAAUCCGGGUUGCGGACAGUGUCUGGUGGGUAGUUUGACUGGGGCGGUCUCCUCCUAAAGAGUAACGGAGGAGCACGAAGGUUGGCUAAUCCUGGUCGGACAUCAGGAGGUUAGUGCAAUGGCAUAAGCCAGCUUGACUGCGAGCGUGACGGCGCGAGCAGGUGCGAAAGCAGGUCAUAGUGAUCCGGUGGUUCUGAAUGGAAGGGCCAUCGCUCAACGGAUAAAAGGUACUCCGGGGAUAACAGGCUGAUACCGCCCAAGAGUUCAUAUCGACGGCGGUGUUUGGCACCUCGAUGUCGGCUCAUCACAUCCUGGGGCUGAAGUAGGUCCCAAGGGUAUGGCUGUUCGCCAUUUAAAGUGGUACGCGAGCUGGGUUUAGAACGUCGUGAGACAGUUCGGUCCCUAUCUGCCGUGGGCGCUGGAGAACUGAGGGGGGCUGCUCCUAGUACGAGAGGACCGGAGUGGACGCAUCACUGGUGUUCGGGUUGUCAUGCCAAUGGCACUGCCCGGUAGCUAAAUGCGGAAGAGAUAAGUGCUGAAAGCAUCUAAGCACGAAACUUGCCCCGAGAUGAGUUCUCCCUGACUCCUUGAGAGUCCUGAAGGAACGUUGAAGACGACGACGUUGAUAGGCCGGGUGUGUAAGCGCAGCGAUGCGUUGAGCUAACCGGUACUAAUGAACCGUGAGGCUUAACCUUACAACGCCGAAGGUGUUU